rnacentral:rRNA from 1 species
GUGCCAGCCGCCGCGGUAAUACCGGCAGCCCAAGUGAUGGCCGGUCUUAUUGGGCCCAAAGCGUCCGUAGCUGGCCACGCAAGUCCAUCGGGAAAUCCACCUGCCCAACAGGUGGGCGCCCGGUAGAAACUGCGUGGCUUGGGACCGGAAGGCGCGACGGGUACGUCCGGGGUAGGAGUGAAAUCCCGUAAUCCUGGACGGACCGCCGAUGGCGAAAGCACGUCGCGAGAACGGAUCCGACAGUGAGGGACGAAAGCCAGGGUCUCGAACCGGAUUAGAAACCCGCGUAGUCC